rnacentral:rRNA from 1 species
AUUGAACGCUGGCGGCAGGCCUAACACAUGCAAGUCGAACGCGUGGCGGACGGGUGAGUACUGUCUGGGAAACUGCCCGUUGGAUGGGGAUAACUAUUGGAAACGGUAGCUAAUCCCGCAUACCAUCGGAUAUGCCCAGAUGGGAUUGGCUAGUAGGGGGGGUAACGGCUCACCUAGGCGACGAUCCCUAGCUGGUCUGAGAGGAUGACCAGCCAGACUGGAACUGAGACACGGUCCAGACUCCUACGGGAGGCAGCAGUGGGGAAUAUUGCACAAUGGGCGCAAGCCUGAUGCAGCCAUGCCGCGUGUAUGAAGAAGGCCUUCGGGUUGUAAAGUACUUUCAGCGAGGAGGCGUUACUCGCAGAAGAAGCAUCGGCUAACUCCGUGCCAGCAGCCGCGGUAAUUC